CUCCCUGCCGUUGAUUUGUGUGUAAGGAUAUAUCGGCUUGAAUGCAGAGAUGAGCUCAUCUCUGCUGAAUAUAUAACAGUACGAAAUCAAAAGUGAAGACAGGUGGAGAACAGUGAAAAUAUUCCAUCGAGUAAUCGAAAUUGGUCGAGAUCGAGUUAGAUCUAACGUGGAUAAAUGAUCGUUUGAAUAAAUAGAUGGACUCGAAAGUUUCAGGUGGAUCUCUCAAAGAAUGUAUUUUCAACAUGAACUCGAUUCCCUGGGAAUCAUUGUUGCAAGACUUAAAAGAAAAUGUACCGCAUGAAGCGAGAGUGCAUUUAAUUCCAAUACUUUCGACGCUGAGGGCAUUUGGAAGUAGCGAUCGAAGAGUCGAGUUUUCUCCAAACUGGGUAAAAAAUUCAUUACUACGCUUGGAAGCUUGUUUAGAUCGAGCAUGGGAGUCUCUUAAUUCCGGGUACUGGAAAGAUGUUCCUAUUGAGCACAGAGUCUGCUAUUCUGUAUGUAGUAUCCUUAUGGCAUUAAUACUUCAGAUGAAGGGUGAAAACGAUACGGAAAAGUCUGCAAAAAGUAAAGACGAAAACUUGCAGCAAAUAAUACAGCAGAUUGACAAAGGCAUUUUGUUAGGAGCACCCUUGCCUCAUGCUCCAGACCUUCUAACAACAAUUGCCUCAAAUGCUAAUCGUUAUUUUGUUGAAAACUUGGGGGUAAUGGAAAAUAGUAGUAAAGUGUUAUUCGAAGAUGCAAGUAUUUGUCAAGAAACAUACCCUGGUUUUGAAACUGUGAAGCAAUACUAUGAACCGUCUAUGGAAACCUUCUACAGAGAUAUAUUUGCAAGAAAGACUCCAGCAAUUUUAGCAGGAUGCUUGAAGCAUUGGAAAGCAUUGACAUUAUGGCGAAAUGCAGAUUAUUUAAUGAGGGUAGCUGGAACGCGUACCGUACCGAUUGAAAUUGGAUCUCGUUACACCGAGGAAGACUGGACCCAACAUCUUGUCUCCUUCUCUGAUUUUCUACAAACUCACAUAUCAAGGAAAAAUAAUAAAGUGGGAUAUUUGGCGCAGCACCCACUUUUUGAACAGUACCAGAGUACUGCAGCUUUUCAGAGGGUGAAGAAGACGUAACGCCACCUGACAUAAAUGCAUGGUUUGGCCCAAGCGGAACUGUAUCACCCUUGCAUUAUGAUCCAAAGUAUAAUUUAUUAUGUCAGGUAUUUGGAUACAAAAGAAUAAUAUUGUAUUCCCCGGAAGAUACUCCAAAUCUGUAUCCCUACGAGACAAGAUUACUUUGCAAUACUGCUCAAGUAGAUCCUGGCCAUCCAGACUUCGAAAAGUGGCCGAA
rnacentral:misc_RNA from 1 species